rnacentral:rRNA from 1 species
UGGGGAAUUUUGGACAAUGGGGGAAACCCUGAUCCAGCCAUCCCGCGUGUGCGAUGAAGGCCUUCGGGUUGUAAAGCACUUUUGGCAGGAAAGAAACGUCGCGGGUUAAUACCCCGCGAAACUGACGGUACCUGCAGAAUAAGCACCGGCUAACUACGUGCCAGCAGCCGCGGUAAUACGUAGGGUGCAAGCGUUAAUCGGAAUUACUGGGCGUAAAGCGUGCGCAGGCGGUUCGGAAAGAAAGAUGUGAAAUCCCAGAGCUUAACUUUGGAACUGCAUUUUUAACUACCGGGCUAGAGUGUGUCAGAGGGAGGUGGAAUUCCGCGUGUAGCAGUGAAAUGCGUAGAUAUGCGGAGGAACACCGAUGGCGAAAGGCAGCCUCCUGGGAUAACACUGACGCUCAUGCACGAAAAGCGUGGGGAGCAAAACAGGAUUAGAUACCCUGGUAGUCCACGCCCUAAAACGAUGUCAACUAGCUGUUGGGGGCCUUCGGGCCUUGGUAGCGCAGCUAACGCGUGAAGUUGACCGCCUGGGGAGUACGGUCGC